rnacentral:sRNA from 1 species
CACCUGCAGCAGCACUAGCACCGGCUGCUGCUGCUGCCCGUCUACCUGCAGCUGCGGCUGCUGCGGCUGCAGCUGCUGCACUUGAACCACCAAUUCCACCAGCUCCUCCUGCAGCAGCUGCUGCCGCCGCUGCUGCUGCUGCACUUCCACCUCCAAGUCCUCCGGCAGCUGCUGCUGCGGCUGCUGCUGCAGCUGCGGCACUUCCGCCUCCAAGUCCUCCUGCAGCUGCUGCUGCUGCUGCUG